rnacentral:rRNA from 1 species
GAGUGGACUCCUACGGGAGGCAGCAGUAGGGAAUCUUCCGCAAUGGACGCAAGUCUGACGGAGCAACGCCGCGUGAGUGAAGAAGGAUUUCGGUUCGUAAAACUCUGUUGUUAGAGAAGAACAGCGCAUAGAGUAACUGUUAUGCGUGUGACGGUAUCUAACCAGAAAGCCACGGCUAACUACGUGCCAGCAGCCGCGGUAAUACGUAGGUGGCAAGCGUUGUCCGGAUUUAUUGGGCGUAAAGCGAGCGCAGGCGGUCAAUUAAGUCUGAUGUGAAAGCCCCCGGCUCAACCGGGGAGGGUCAUUGGAAACUGGUUGACUUGAGUGCAGAAGAGGAGAGUGGAAUUCCAUGUGUAGCGGUGAAAUGCGUAGAUAUAUGGAGGAACACCAGUGGCGAAGGCGACUCUCUGGUCUGUAACUGACGCUGAGGCUCGAAAGCGUGGGUAGCAAACAGGAUUAGAUACCCUUGUAGUCCUAG